AAAUUGAAGAGUUUGAUCAUGGCUCAGAUUGAACGCUGGCGGCAGGCCUAACACAUGCAAGUCGAACGGUAGCACAGAGAGCUUGCUCUCGGGUGACGAGUGGCGGACGGGUGAGUAAUGUCUGGGAAACUGCCUGAUGGAGGGGGAUAACUACUGGAAACGGUGGCUAAUACCGCAUAAUGUCGCAAGACCAAAGAGGGGGACCUUCGGGCCUCUUGCCAUCAGAUGUGCCCAGAUGGGAUUAGCUUGUUGGUGAGGUAACGGCUCACCAAGGCGACGAUCCCUAGCUGGUCUGAGAGGAUGACCAGCCACACUGGAACUGAGACACGG
rnacentral:rRNA from 1 species